GUCCCGCCUGGGGAUUACGGCCGCNAAGGCUAAAAUUCAAAGGAAUUGACGGGGGCCCGCACAAGCAGCGGAGCGUGUGGUUUAAUUCGAUGAUACGCGAAGAACCUUACCAGGGCUUGACAUGCUGGUAGUAGGAACCCGAAAGGGGGACGAUCCGUCUUUGGCGGAAGCCAGCACAGGUGCUGCAUGGCUGUCGUCAGCUCGUGUCGUGAGAUGUUGGGUUAAGUCCCACAACGAGCGCAACCCUUGCCCUGUGUUGCUCUCUCACAGGGGACUGCCCCGCAAAACGGGGAGGAAGGUGGGGAUAACGUCAAGUCAGCAUGGCCCUUAAACCCUGGGCAACACACACGCUACAAUGGUCGGUACAAAGGGAUGCGAAAGAGCGAUCUGGAGCUAAUCUCAUAGAACCGAUCCCAGUUCGGAUUGGAGGCUUCACUUCAC
rnacentral:rRNA from 1 species